rnacentral:rRNA from 1 species
UACGUAGGGACCAAGCGUUGUUCGGAUUUACUGGGCGUAAAGGGCGCGUAGGCGGCGCGGUAAGUCACUUGUGAAAUCUCUGAGCUUAACUCAGAACGGCCAAGUGAUACUGCAGUGCUAGAGUGUGGAAGGGGCAAUCGGAAUUCUUGGUGUAGCGGUGAAAUGCGUAGAUAUCAAGAGGAACACCCGUGGCGAAGGCGGCUCUCUGGGACGGUACCGACGCUGAGACGCGAAAGCGUGGGGAGCGAACAGG